UACGGAGGGUGCGAGCGUUGUCCGGAAUCACUGGGCGUAAAGGGCGCGUAGGCGGCCUGAUAGGUAGGAGGUGAAAUCCUGCGGCUUAACCGCAGGGCUGCCUUCUAAACUGUCAGGCUCGAGCACAGUAGAGGCAGGUGGAAUUCCCGGUGUAGCGGUGGAAUGCGUAGAGAUCGGGAAGAACAUCGGUGGCGAAGGCGGCCUGCUGGGCUGUUGCUGACGCUGAGGCGCGACAGCGUGGGGAGCAAACAGG
rnacentral:rRNA from 1 species